rnacentral:rRNA from 1 species
UACCAGCACCCCGAGUGGUCGGGACGAUUAUUGGGCCUAAAGCAUCCGUAGCCGGUUCUACAAGUCUUCCGUUAAAUCCAUCUGCUUAACAGAUGGGCUGCGGAGGAUACUAUGGAGCUAGGAGGCGGGAGAGGCAAGCGGUACUUAGUGGGUAGGGGUAAAAUCCGUUGAUCCACUGAAGACCACCAGUGGCGAAGGCGGCUUGCCAGAACGCGCUCGACGGUGAGGGAUGAAAGCUGGGGGAGCAAACCGGAUUAGAAACCCCCGUAGUCC